ACCAGGAUGGCCGAGUGGUUAAGGCGUUGGACUUAAGAUCCAAUGAGUGGGUUCGAACCCCACUCCUGGUA